rnacentral:rRNA from 1 species
AUUGAACGCUCGCGGUGUGCUUUACACAUGCAAGUCGAACGAGUGGCGGACGGGUGAGUAAUAUAUCGGAACGUGCCCAGUAGCGGGGGAUAACUACUCGAAAGAGUGGCUUAUACCGCCAACUUUUAGAGCGGCCGAUAUCGGAUUAGCUAGUUGGGGGGGUAAAGGCUCACCAAGGCAACGAGCCGUAGCUGGUUUGAGAGGACGACCAGCCACACUGGGACUGAGAAACGGCCCAGCCUCCGACGGGAGGGAGCAGUGGGGAAUGUUUGACAAUGGGGGAAACCCUGAUCCAGCCAUCCCGCGUGUAUGAGAAGGCCUUCGGGUUGUAAAGUACUUUUGGCAGAGAAGCGGUAUCUUCAGAAUAAGCACCGGCGAACUACGUGCCAGCAGCCGCGGUAAUAC